rnacentral:rRNA from 1 species
UGAGACAGGUGCUGCAUGGCUGUCGUCAGCUCGUGUUGUGAAAUGUUGGGUAAGUCCCGCAACGAGCGCAACCCUUAUCCUUUGUUGCCAGCGGUUCGGCCGGGAACUCAAAGGAGACUGCCCAGUGAUAAACUGGAGGAAGGUGGGGAUGACGUCAAGUCAUCAUGGCCCUUACGAGUAGGGCUACACACGUGCUACAAUGGCAUAUACAAAGAGAAGCGACCUCGCGAGAGCAAGCGGACCUCAUAAAGUAUGUCGUAGUCCGGAUUGGAGUCUGCAACUCGACUCCAUGAAGUCGGAAUCGCUAGUAAUCGUAGAUCAGAAUGCUACGGUGAAUACGUUCCCGGGCCUUGUACACACCGCCCGUCACACCAUGGGAGUGGGUUGCAAAAGAAGUAGGUAGCUUAACCUUCGGGAGGGCGCUUACCACUUUGUGAUUCAUGACUGGGGUGAAGUCGUAACAGGGUAAC